GACGAACGCUGGCGGCGUGCUUAACACAUGCAAGUCGAGCGGUAAGGCCCUUUCGGGGUACGACGAGCGGCGAACGGGUGAGUAACACGUGGGUGACCUGCCCUCCAGCUCUGGGAUAAGCCUGGGAAACCGGGUCUAAUACUGGAUAUGACUCCAUGACGCAUGUUGUGGGGUGGAAAGCCUUGUGCGGCUGAGGAUGGGCCCGCGGCCUAUCAGCUUGUUGGUGGGGUGANGGCCUACCAAGGCGACGACGGGUAGCCGGCCUGAGAGGGCGACCGGCCACACUGGGACUGAGACACGGCCCAGACUCCUACGGGAGGCAGCAGUGGGGAAUCUUGCGCAAUGGGCGAAAGCCUGACGCAGCGACGCCGCGUGAGGGAUGAC
rnacentral:rRNA from 1 species